CUUUUAACAAUGGAUCUCUUGGUUCUCGCAUCGAUGAAGAACGUAGCAAAGUGCGAUAACUAGUGUGAAUUGCAUAUUCAGUGAAUCAUCGAGUCUUUGAACGCAUCUUGCACUCAAUGGUAUUCCAUUGAGUACGCCUGUUUCAGUAUCAAAA
rnacentral:rRNA from 1 species